GAUGAAUGCUGGCGUGCGUGCCUAACACAUGCAAGUCGAGCGGCAGCGAGUUUUACACUGAAUUCUGGAAGCUUCUGGGUAAUAUAGAAGAUCUAUUCAAGAAUUUUGUGUAAAAUGUCGGCGAGCGGCGGACGGCUGAGUAACGCGUAGGAAUUUGCCCCAAAGUGAGGAAUAACUGCCCGAAAGGGUAGCUAAUGCCGCAUAUGGUCUUCGGAUUAAAGCCUUCGGGCGCUUUGGGAGAAGCCUGCGUUGGAUUAGGUAGUUGGUAGGGUAAUGGCCUACCAAGCCGACGAUCCAUAGCUGGUCUGAGAGGAUGAUCAGCCAGACUGGAACUGAGACACGGUCCACACUCCUACGGGAGGCAGCAGUGAGGAAUCUUCCACAAUGGGCGAAAGCCUGAUGGAGCAACGCCGCGUGAAGGAUGAAGGCCUUCGGGUUGUAAACUUCUUUUAUGAGUGAAGAAUAUGACGGUAACUCAUGAAUAAGCUCCGGCUAACUACGUGCCAGCAGCCGCGGUCAUACGUAGGGUGCAAGCAUUAUCCGGAGUGACUGGGCGUAAAGAGUUGCGUAGGCGGUUUAAUAGUGAAUAGUGAAACCUGGUGGCUCAACCACACAGACUAUUAUUCAAACUGUUAAACUCGAGAAUGGUAGAGGUAACUGGAAUUUCUAGUGUAGGAGUGAAAUCCGUAGAUAUUAGAAGGAACACCGAUGGCGUAGGCAGGUUACUGGGCCAUUUCUGACGCUAAGGCACGAAAGCGUGGGGAGCGAACCGGAUUAGAUACCCGGGUAGUCCACGCCGUAAACGAUGGAUACUAGCUGUUGGAGGUAUCGACCCCUUCAGUAGCGAAGCUAACGCGUUAAGUAUCCCGCCUGUGGAGUACGGCCGCAAGGCUAAAACAUAAAGGAAUUGACGGGGACCCGCACAAGCGGUGGAUUAUGUUCUUUAAUUCGAUGAUAACCGAAGAACCUUACCAGGGCUUGACAUCCAGGGAAGGUCUGCGAAAGUAGACUGUGCCUUUUGGAACCCUGUGACAGGUGAUGCAUGGCCGUCGUCAGCUCGUGUCGUGAGAUGUUAGGUUAAGUCCUUCAACGAGCGCAACCCUUGUGAAUAGUUGUAUUUUUCUAUUCAGACUGCCCCGGUAACGGGGAGGAAGGAGGGGAUGAUGUCAGGUCAGUAUUUCCCUUACGUCCUGGGCUAGAAACGUAAUACAAUGGCUAGUACAAUGCGCAGCGAAGCCGCGAGGUGAAGCAAAUCGCAUCAAAGCUAGUCCCAGUUCGGAUUGUAGGCUGAAACUCGCCUGCAUGAAGUCGGAAUCGCUAGUAAUCGCAAAUCAGCAAGUUGCGGUGAAUACGUUCCCGGGUCU
rnacentral:rRNA from 1 species